GCCUAUAUUAAUUAAUUUCAAAAGGGCUUUUACAUUUCGGAAUGAGAACGAUGUUUGUUCUAUUCCAUUCUUUUAACAUAAAGCCAUUGGUAAAGAAACUUUGUACAACAAUACACAAUUCCCUACCAACUGUGUCCCAAUUGUUUUGAUAGAAGAGACUUGGGAAUCCAUCAGGUCCUGGAGAUUUCGAUCCACCCGAGCUGAACACUGCUGCUUUGAUUUCAUCUUCAAGAACAGGGGCUAUCAACUUCAUAUUAAUCUCUGGAGUCACAAUGUUACGCAAGAGACUAACAACAUCAUCUUCCCCAUAGAUAGUAUGACUGGAAUAUAGAUUAUGGAAGAAAGAAAUAAUCUCAUCCUAAAUUACAGCUUCCGAAUCCACCCAGUUGCCAUUUGAUGUUUUAAGUUUCAAAAUAGCAUUCCUCUGUCUUCUUUGCAUGGUUGAUAUCGCGUAUUGCGAUCACCUUCUUGUAACCAAUUAAUGCGGGAUCUUUGCUUCCAGUGCAUUUCCUCUCUACGCCAUAAUUCCUUAAGACGGGACAGAAUUUGGUGUUCUAUUAGAUUAUUAGCUUCAUCUAUCAGAUUCUAGUACAGAGAUUUGAGAUGAUUUGUCAACUGAUCGAUUUCCAAAUAGUUCCCUUUGAAGUGCUCCCUACUCUAUUUGCUUAAAGCUCUUCUGCAAAAUUUCAACUUUUUCAUUAUGGAGAACAUGGGCGACCCGAUGAUUUGUUGAUUCCAUACUGAAGAGGUGACCGCCUGACACUCUGAAUGUAGCAUCCAUUUAGCUUCAAAUUUAAAAGAGAACUAUUUCUUGGGUGUUUGAAAGCCGUCUAAACACAGAACUAGAGGACUAUGAUCUGAUUCGAUAAGGGCUUCAUUCAAAACAUAGGCCUUCAGGAAUGCUUCUCUCCAUUCAAUAGAUGCUAAAGCCCUAUCAAGUCUUUCUAGGAUUGCUAUCCUACCAAAUUGUUUAUUGAACCAAGUAAAAUAAGGACCCUUACAUUCAAGGUCCAUAAGCUCCCUAAAUUUGAUGAAGUUAUGCAUAUCUCUUGCUUGUGAGAAAGAAAAAUCAGCACCACCCCAUUUGUCAUCCUGAGAAGCAAUAGAGUUAAAAUCACCCACAAAGAUGCAAGGGAUGGAGGGAGAUGAGAUAUCAUGUAACUGACUCCAAAAAUCUCUCCUGUUCUUUUGAUUUGGACAUCCAUAAAUAAAAAUAGAUUGCCAAAUAAAAUUACUUCCCUCCAAUUGCACAGCAGUAUCUAUAAAAUUAGGAGAAGAUUUAUUUACAACCAAGUUCACUUCGUUGUUCCACCAUAAGCAUAAACCUCCUGAAAGGCCUUGUGAUUUUACAUAGUGGACAUGAUCAAAACCCAUUCUUCUUUUUAAACCUUCAAUAUACUUCUUCUUGUUUCUUGUCUCCAUAAAAACACAAUGGAGGGGCGAUGUCAACGUAUGAGCUCAAAGAGAGCUUGAACUGCCCUGGCUUGCCUAAUUCCCAGGCAGUUCCAAGCUAGGAUCCUCAUGGCACCUGUGAUGGCUUUAGGCUAGCCACUGAAGCCUCAGCCAGGGAAUAAUCCAAUGAUUUUGUGUCCACUAUUUUUUCUCUAUAAAGGAUAUAUGUGCUCUGAAUAUUAUCUUCCUUGGUCGACCCCUCUGAUAAAGAAUUAGGACCAGUAACAUCCUCUUUUUGAGAGACAUUCUGAGCUCUACGCUUCCACGUCUUGCACUAUUGACUUGAGCAUUCCAUCCCUGCCACAUCAUUUUCCUUUUUAGUUUUCUCUAUAGCAAAUUGUCCCUCAACCUGAGUACCAUUGAUAUUUCCUUCUUUACUUAGAGUUGGAACUUUCAAGUUAAUGAUGAAUGCAA
rnacentral:misc_RNA from 1 species